rnacentral:rRNA from 1 species
GCUAAACGCGAAGAACCUUACCAAGGCUUGACAUAUACGAGAACGGGCCAGAAAUGGUCAACUCUUUGGACACUCGUAAACAGGUGGUGCAUGGUUGUCGUCAGCUCGUGUCGUGAGAUGUUGGGUUAAGUCCCGCAACGAGCGCAACCCUCGUUCUAUGUUGCCAGCACGUAAUGGUGGGAACUCAUGGGAUACUGCCGGGGUCAACUCGGAGGAAGGUGGGGAUGACGUCAAAUCAUCAUGCCCCUUAUGUCUUGGGCUUCACGCAUGCUACAAUGGCCGGUACAAAGGGCUGCAAUACCGCGAGGUGAACGAAUCCCAAAAAGCCGGUCCCAGUUCGGAUUGAGGUCUGCAACUCGACCUCAUGAAGUCGGAGUCGCUAGUAAUCGCAGAUCAGCAACGCUGCGGUGAAUACGUUCCCGGGUCUUGUACACACCG